CAGUCCUCCAGAGAAAAGGAGGAGCUAAACUCCUGCUCUGUCACCCCAGGAGCCCAGCACCCUGAGUAGGGACAUGCCUGCCCCUGCCCUGCCUGACUCUGCCUGGGGCACCAGGAUCCUCUGCUGUGCUGCCCUUUGUCUCCUGGGAGCAGAUUCAGUGGAUGUUGGAGUCACCCAGACCCCAAGAUACCUAAUCAGAGAAAAGAAGGGACAGGCCACUCUGAAAUGCUAUCCCAUUUCAGGACACAAGAGUAUAUACUGGUACCAGAAGGCUCUAGACCAGGGCCCCCAGUUCCUUGUUUCAUAUUAUGAAAAGACAGAAUACAGUAAAGGCAUCAUCACUGAUCGAUUCUUGGCUGAGCAGUUCAGUGACUACCACUCUGAAAUGAACAUGAGCUCCUUGGAGCUGGGGGACUCCGCCGUGUACCUCUGUGCUAGCAGUGUAGACACAGCCCUACAGAGCUACUGGCUUUUUGUACCCAAACCUUCCUGUUCCAGCUGA